GGAGGGCGCAAGCGUUGUUCGGAAUCACUGGGCGUAAAGCGCGUGUAGGGCGGGCUUGGGCAAGUCGGUUGUGAAAUCCCGGGGCCCAACCCCGGAACUGCAACCCGAAACUGCCUCGCUUGAGUCCCGGAGAGGGUGGCGGAAUUUCCGGUGUAGAGGUGAAAUUCGUAGAUAUCGGAAGGAACACCAGUGGCGAAGGCGGCCACCUGGACGGUGACUGACGCUGGGACGCGAAAGCGUGGGGAGCAAACAGGAUUAGAUACCCUGGUAGUCCACGCCGUAAACGUUGGGUGCUAGGCGUCGCGGGUAUUGACCCCUGCGGUGCCGAAGCUAACGCAUUAAGCACCCCGCCUGGGGAGUACGGUCGCAAGACUA
rnacentral:rRNA from 1 species